rnacentral:rRNA from 1 species
CCUACGGGUGGCAGCAGUGAGGAAUAUUGGUCAAUGGGCGCGAGCCUGAACCAGCCAAGUAGCGUGAAGGAUGACUGCCCUACGGGUUGUAAACUUCUUUUAUAAAGGAAUAAAGUGAGGCACGUGUGCCCUUUUGUAUGUACUUUAUGAAUAAGGAUCGGCUAACUCCGUGCCAGCAGCCGCGGUAAUACGGAGGAUCCGAGCGUUAUCCGGAUUUAUUGGGUUUAAAGGGAGCGUAGAUGGGUUGUUAAGUCAGUUGUGAAAGUUUGUGGCUCAACCGUAAAAUUGCAAUUGAUACUGGCAGUCUUGAGUACAGUUGAGGUAGGCGGAAUUCGUGGUGUAGCGGUGAAAUGCUUAGAUAUCGCGAGGAACUCCGGUUGCGAAGGCAGCUUACUAGACUGCCACUGACAUUGAUGCUCGAAGGUGUGGGUAUCAAACGGGAUUAGAUACCCCUGUAGUC